rnacentral:rRNA from 1 species
AGCGAACGCUGGCGGCAGGCCUAACACAUGCAGGUCGAACGAACUCUUCGGAGUUAGUGGCGGACGGGUGAGUAACACGUGGGAACGUGCCUUUUGGUUCGGAAUAACUCAGGGAAACUUGUGCUAAUACCGAAUGUGCCCUUCGGGGGAAAGAUUUAUCGCCAUUAGAGCGGCCCGCGUCUGAUUAGCUAGUUGGUGAGGUAACGGCUCACCAAGGCGACGAUCAGUAGCUGGUCUGAGAGGAUGACCAGCCACACUGGGACUGAGACACGGCCCAGACUCCUACGGGAGGCAGCAGUGGGGAAUCUUGAGCAAUGGGCGAAAGGCUGACGCAGCCAUGCCGCGUGAAUGAUGAAGGUCGUAGGAUUGUAAAAUUCUUUCACCGGGGACGAUAAUGACGGUACCCGGAGAAGAAGCCCCGGCUAACUUCGUG